CAAUAGCGUAUAUUUAAGUUGUUGCAGUUAAAAAGCUCGUAGUUGGAUUUUGGGUCGGGGGCACCGGUCCGCCGUUCCGGUGUGCACUGGUGGCCCCUUCCUUUCUGCCGGGGACGUGCGUCGCACUUAAUUGGGUGGCGUUCGGAGUCGGCGUUGUUACUUUGAAAAAUUAGAGUGUUCAAAGCAAGCCAUCGCUCUGAAUACAUUAGCAUGGAAUAACAUGAUAGGACUCUGGUCUUAUUUUGUUGGUUUCCGAGACUGGAGUAAUGAUUAAGAGGGACAGUCGGGGGCAUCCGUAUUUCAUUGUCAGAGGUGAAAUUCUUGGAUUUAUGAAAGACGAACUUCUGCGAAAGCAUUCGCCAAGGAUGUUUUCAUUAA
rnacentral:rRNA from 1 species